AUACUUACCUGGCAAGGGAGAUACCGUGAUCAAGAAGGCGGUUCACCCAGGGCGAGGCUCAGCCAUUGCACUCCGGCUGUGCUGACCCCUGCGAAUUUCCCAAAUGUGGAAAUCUCGAUUGCAUAAUUUAUGGUAAGUGGGGGACUGCGUUCGCGCUCUCCCCUG
rnacentral:snRNA from 8 species